rnacentral:rRNA from 1 species
AUUGAACGCUGGCGGCAUGCCUUACACAUGCAAGUCGAACGGCAGCAUGGAGAGCUUGCUCUCUGAUGGCGAGUGGCGAACGGGUGAGUAAUGCAUCGGAACGUACCGUGUAAUGGGGGAUAACGUAGCGAAAGUUACGCUAAUACCGCAUACGACCUGAGGGUGAAAGCAGGGGAUCGCAAGACCUUGCGUUAAACGAGCGGCCGAUGUCAGAUUAGCUAGUUGGUGAGGUAGAGGCUCACCAAGGCGACGAUCUGUAGCGGGUCUGAGAGGAUGAUCCGCCACACUGGGACUGAGACACGGCCCAGACUCCUACGGGAGGCAGCAGUGGGGAAUUUUGGACAAUGGGGGCAACCCUGAUCCAGCCAUGCCGCGUGAGUGAAGAAGGCCUUCGGGUUGUAAAGCUCUUUCGGCCGGGAAGAAAUCGCACAGGCUAAUACUCUGUGUGGAUGACGGUACCGGCAUAAGAAGCACCGGCUAACUACGUGCCAGCCGCCGCGGUAA